UCCCGAAAAUGACCAAAUUGGCGAGC
rnacentral:piRNA from 1 species